GCGUUUCAAACCCCCCAAGACUCUCCGUCUUCUCUCUUCCACCACCCCCAGACACGACGCGAAACGCUCGACCCGACCUGAGUUUUCCUGUCCUCCGGCCGCGGAUCAGAGGCAGACCGACUCGGCGCGGCCUCCCCGUCUUCCCCACGGCGUCGCCUCACCCCGGCGCCACUGCCAGAGUCCAGACCGAGAUCGAAACACCCACAGUCGCGCAAAACGGGAGCGGCUGGAAAACGUCUUUCCCGGCAUCCCCUCGGCGAUUGGUUGGCAUUUUUGGAAUCGUCUCCCCCACUAGAUCAUCCCCAUACCCGCCUUUCAUCACGAUUUGGAGUGUAGAGCGCUAGAUCAAGCGCGGACGGUCCACAGUGAAUCUGGGUUUGAAAUCAACGGUCGUGAUUAAUCCAAAUUCAAAGCUUGAUCUAGAACAAUCUAGACCGAAUCUCGCUUAGCUCC
rnacentral:lncRNA from 1 species